AGCAGGCAGGAUGGGGGUGGGGUGGGUACCCAGAGCUGUGAGAAAGUGCAGCAUCACCAUGAGUGAGAGAAGUUCACAGGGAGCACACAUGCCCUUGAGUGCUGAGCUAAGGACCUGGAAAAGAACCACUGUGAAUUCUGCAGCUAUGGAAACCCUGGGGCUGCCUGUGGUCAGAGAGGGGCUUCAAGAUCAGUGAUUUUCCAGCAGCUGGGAGAAUGGACUGGAACAGAUACCCCCUGAACCGUUCUGACAGCCCAGAUUAGAAGGGGGAAGGUGGAGGAAAGGCACAGACAAUUCAGAAGAAGAAAAAAAAGCGAUCGUCUGCCCUUCCCACGUCUUCGCCGAUCAGUCCCCACUUUCCAGCCUGCACAAGUGCCUUGGAGCCCUACCCUUUGGAUGCAGCCAAAGCCAUUCCUAGCAGCCCUUGAGGGUUCUAACAACACAACUGUGGAGUCAGAGUCCUGUCUCCUGGGAUCCCAAGGCUUCAUCCAGGGACAGCUACAUGUAAAUCAGGAAGAGAAAUCUGCUGUGGAAAAGGUCUCCAUUGACCAACUGCUCCUCUGGUCUCUGCCUGUCCAGCAGACAAGUGCACUGCAGUAAUGAAAUCCACGACUUCCCACCUCUGCCAGUGAAGAGUCAGCAUGUACCGUGUGAAAGCCAGGAAGGCUCAUCUGUCUCGUGAGUGAUUUCCUUUCCUAAGGAAGGCCCUCCAAGGAGCCAUGCAUCUCUGGAACGGAUCACCCAUGCUGACAGAACUGAAGAUUGAACCUCUAACUAACAUGACUUGUGCAGGUGACAGGGAAAUUGUUUGUAAUAUAACUUCAUUUCUUUAAAAGCAGCUACGGAUUUAUACUUGGGUGAAAUUAUAUCCCACAUACUAAUUUAAUAAACUCCUCUAAGCUUACACAGAGUCUCUUCUUGGAAAAGGAUGUGUUUCUGAUCCACUGGCCAGUGCACUGAAUGAUUUCCCACUACAACCCAAGGGAGAGGGAGUAGUGAAGACUGAAAACUAGGCAAAGCCAAUUCGUAUUCUGAUGAAACUUUACAAAUGCUGCUUAUGACAAAACCCAGUUGUAAAAACUAAAGGGUAAGGUGAACACCCAAACCCUGCCAUUAAAAUAACAAAGAAAGGGGCUCCCUGCUACCUUUGGUUAAUCUUUUCCAGUGGAACCUUCUUGUCUUGUGUCUCAUUACCUCAAGUCCCAAGAUUUCCAACCCUGGGUAAAGACUGUCUCCUCAGGGCCAGGCACAGUGGCCCAUGCCUGAAAUCCCAGCAAUUUGGGAGGCCGAGG
rnacentral:lncRNA from 10 species